GCAGGGAGGGGUGGGAAGGACAGUAGACGGGACCAGACAUCAUUACCCUGCGUACAUACCCAGAGCUAUUCGACUGGGGCGAUUCUACACCACGCAGAACCACGAGAGUGAGAGAGAAAUUAUGCUCCAUUAUAUAUGCGGUACCAGAGAGCGUUCUACUGUCGUGUGUAACUAAUUAAAGAAAUGAAUAAAUAAAUAAUUAAACAAAUAAAUACAAAAAAUAAAGGGUAGGAACGGGCGGUUUUUAGCAUAGUUGCAGGUCUUCCCGGGCAUCCCCGCGGUGGAUCUAAGAACACGGUGGUCGCCCCUAAGCCCUCGCUCCUCAGCCUCACUCCCCGCACGGCCCCCCACAGUGAGGUCAGGGUUUAUAUGGAAAGAGCCACCUGAAGCCCUGAGCUGCUCACAGUGACAGUCCUCCUCCACCAUCUGGAGGUCAUCGUCAACGUGAAGACUGAUUUGCACAAGUACAUGAUAAGAAAAGAAAUCUAGGAGACGUUUCAGGAAGUAUUUAAAGUGUGGAGGACUUUGAGCAGCCGUGGGGGAAUCUCUCCGCACUUUCCCUUCACCGAUAAACUCGGCACUGACGCGUCCUGUGAUCUCCUAGGUGCCUCCUCACAGGCGUGGACUGGCUCCACUGGGGGCCUUGGGGGCCUGGGGAGGCUGUCAGCUGUGGGGCACUCAGGUGUCGUUGGAACAGUCUCCAUCAGGACCCCCCAUUGCUCUUCUCCACUUUGCAGAAGAGGACACAGAGGGCCUGAGUGGCGGGAGUCCAGCACAGCCUCCUCAGAGGCUGCUUUGCAGUGGCCCAGAGUUUGACGCCAUGGAGGCUGGCGCUGGCCGGUGGCCCAGGCAGCUCCCCUCCCCUGUGGCCUCCUUCCACCUCUUGCUUUGUGCUCCAGAGUCAGGGACGUGGACUCCAUGUCUGCUGCCCAGGCCGGGCGCAGGGCUGCUUCCUCUGUGACCUCUGCUCUCUGGGCCUUGCUCAUGGUGACAGCAGGGCUGAGAGGUGAACUCACGGUGUCCACCUCAGACCUUGCUUGCCGAGCUACUCCCUGCUGACUGGGGGUGACCACAGCAGGCUGGGGCACAGCUGCCAGGUGGCCAGUGGGCCCAGAUCCUCUCCACAAAUGGGGAAACCACAUGCCCCCAAGGCUCCCUGGCUGGUGGGGGUUCCUCCCAUGGUGCGGACGGGGGCUGGGCCACCCUCACCCGGCCCUACGGGAGCCACAGGGUCAAGGCACCUGUCGCCGUGCUGAGCCUCUCGGUGGUGCCUGGGCAAUCCAGGCGGAGGAAGCCUUGAAUAAACCUCAGGAAGAACAACUCUGUCCUUCUGUUUUCCCAGAAGGCGAGCGCUUCCACACGGUGGGAAUAUGUUGUUUUUGAGCCUGAGCCCGGGACGACCAUCAAAGAGGGGACAUUGUUUUUCUUAAAAGUGUUUGGCCAGAUCUGAUCAGCAGAAUUUCAGGUGCUGUGACUCAGCCCUUCCUCGGUCGCUUGCACCUUCCCAGCAAUGCCCUGGACACUGUGGCCCCCGCCCUAUUUCUCAGGGCCUCUUGGGAGGCUCUGACCCUCCGUGGCGGUCAGGACCUGGGACUGGAAUCAGAUGUAUCCUCGCUCGUCAGAAGGGUCUGGGAAACCCUGGGCUUCCCUGAGUCUCAGCUUCUCACAUUUAAAAUGGGAUAAGGAGGUGGGACAGUCACCUCCCCAAGGGCACCGUCAGGGUGACAGGAGGAGUGCCCCCCCCUCGUGCAGGAGGCUGGUG
rnacentral:lncRNA from 1 species